GCAAGCGUGGUUUAUUUAGAACGUAACACUGAAAAUGUUGAGAUGGGCCUUAGAAAGCUCCGCAAGCA
rnacentral:tRNA from 5 species